GGGUUGUGAGGUUAAGCGACUAAGCGUACACGGUGGAUGCCCUGGCAGUCAGAGGCGAUGAAGGACGUGCUAAUCUGCGAAAAGCGUCGGUAAGGUGAUAUGAACCGUUACAGCCGGCGAUGUCCGAAUGGGGAAACCCAGUGUGAUUCGUCACACUAUCGUUAACUGAAUACAUAGGUUAACGAGGCGAACCGGGGGAACUGAAACAUCUAAGUACCCCGAGGAAAAGAAAUCAACCGAGAUUCCCCCAGUAGCGGCGAGCGAACGGGGAGCAGCCCAGAGUCUGAAUCAGCUUGUGUGUUAGUGGAACGGUCUGGAAAGUCCGACGGUACAGGGUGAUAGUCCCGUACACCAAAAUGCACAGGCUGUGAACUCGAAGAGUAGGGCGGGACACGUGGUAUCCUGUCUGAAUAUGGGGGGACCAUCCUCCAAGGCUAAAUACUCCUGACUGACCGAUAGUGAACCAGUACCGUGAGGGAAAGGCGAAAAGAACCCCGGCGAGGGGAGUGAAAAAGAACCUGAAACCGUGUACGUACAAGCAGUGGGAGCACCUUCGGGUGUGACUGCGUACCUUUUGUAUAAUGGGUCAGCGACUUAUAUUCUGUAGCAAGGUUAACCGUAUAGGGGAGCCGCAGGGAAACCGAGUCUUAACUGGGCGUUAAGUUGCAGGGUAUAGACCCGAAACCCGGUGAUCUAGCCAUGGGCAGGUUGAAGGUUGGGUAACACUAACUGGAGGACCGAACCGACUAAUGUUGAAAAAUUAGCGGAUGACUUGUGGCUGGGGGUGAAAGGCCAAUCAAACCGGGAGAUAGCUGGUUCUCCCCGAAAGCUAUUUAGGUAGCGCCUCGUGAAUUCAUCUUCGGGGGUAGAGCACUGUUUCGGCUAGGGGGUCAUCCCGACUUACCAACCCGAUGCAAACUACGAAUACCGAAGAAUGUUAUCACGGGAGACACACGGCGGGUGCUAACGUCCGUCGUGAAGAGGGAAACAACCCAGACCGCCAGCUAAGGUCCCAAAGUCAUGGUUAAGUGGGAAACGAUGUGGGAAGGCACAGACAGCCAGGAUGUUGGCUUAGAAGCAGCCAUCAUUUAAAGAAAGCGUAAUAGCUCACUGGUCGAGUCGGCCUGCGCGGAAGAUGUAACGGGGCUAAACCAUGCACCGAAGCUGCGGCAGCGACACUAUGUGUUGUUGGGUAGGGGAGCGUUCUGUAAGCCUGCGAAGGUGACCUGUGAGGGUUGCUGGAGGUAUCAGAAGUGCGAAUGCUGACAUAAGUAACGAUAAAGCGGGUGAAAAGCCCGCUCGCCGGAAGACCAAGGGUUCCUGUCCAACGUUAAUCGGGGCAGGGUGAGUCGACCCCUAAGGCGAGGCCGAAAGGCGUAGUCGAUGGGAAACAGGUUAAUAUUCCUGUACUUGGUGUUACUGCGAAGGGGGGACGGAGAAGGCUAUGUUAGCCGGGCGACGGUUGUCCCGGUUUAAGCAUGUAGGCUGGUUAUCCAGGCAAAUCCGGAUAAUCAAGGCUGAGGUGUGAUGACGAGGCACUACGGUGCUGAAGUAACAAAUGCCCUGCUUCCAGGAAAAGCCUCUAAGCAUCAGGUAACAUCAAAUCGUACCCCAAACCGACACAGGUGGUCAGGUAGAGAAUACCAAGGCGCUUGAGAGAACUCGGGUGAAGGAACUAGGCAAAAUGGUGCCGUAACUUCGGGAGAAGGCACGCUGGUGUGUAGGUGAAGUCCCUGCGGAUGGAGCUGAGACCAGUCGAAGAUACCAGCUGGCUGCAACUGUUUAUUAAAAACACAGCACUGUGCAAACACGAAAGUGGACGUAUACGGUGUGACGCCUGCCCGGUGCCGGAAGGUUAAUUGAUGGGGUUAUCCGUAAGGAGAAGCUCUUGAUCGAAGCCCCGGUAAACGGCGGCCGUAACUAUAACGGUCCUAAGGUAGCGAAAUUCCUUGUCGGGUAAGUUCCGACCUGCACGAAUGGCGUAAUGAUGGCCAGGCUGUCUCCACCCGAGACUCAGUGAAAUUGAACUCGCUGUGAAGAUGCAGUGUACCCGCGGCAAGACGGAAAGACCCCGUGAACCUUUACUAUAGCUUGACACUGAACAUUGAGCCUUGAUGUGUAGGAUAGGUGGGAGGCUUUGAAGCGUGGACGCCAGUCUGCGUGGAGCCAACCUUGAAAUACCACCCUUUAAUGUUUGAUGUUCUAACGUUGGCCCCUUACCGGGGUUGCGGACAGUGUCUGGUGGGUAGUUUGACUGGGGCGGUCUCCUCCCAAAGCGUAACGGAGGAGCACGAAGGUUAGCUAAUCCUGGUCGGACAUCAGGAGGUUAGUGCAAUGGCAUAAGCUAGCUUGACUGCGAGCGUGACGGCGCGAGCAGGUGCGAAAGCAGGUCAUAGUGAUCCGGUGGUUCUGAAUGGAAGGGCCAUCGCUCAACGGAUAAAAGGUACUCCGGGGAUAACAGGCUGAUACCGCCCAAGAGUUCAUAUCGACGGCGGUGUUUGGCACCUCGAUGUCGGCUCAUCACAUCCUGGGGCUGAAGUAGGUCCCAAGGGUAUGGCUGUUCGCCAUUUAAAGUGGUACGCGAGCUGGGUUUAGAACGUCGUGAGACAGUUCGGUCCCUAUCUGCCGUGGGCGCUGGAGAAUUGAGGGGGGCUGCUCCUAGUACGAGAGGACCGGAGUGGACGCAUCACUGGUGUUCGGGUUGUCAUGCCAAUGGCACUGCCCGGUAGCUAAAUGCGGAAGAGAUAAGUGCUGAAAGCAUCUAAGCACGAAACUUGCCCCGAGAUGAGUUCUCCCUGAGACUUUAAGUCUCCUGAAGGAACGUUAAAGACGAUGACGUUGAUAGGCCGGGUGUGUAAGCGCAGCGAUGCGUUGAGCUAACCGGUACUAAUGAACCGUGAGGCUUAACCUUACAACGCCGAAG
rnacentral:rRNA from 2 species